GGUGGCCGUCGCCGUCCCCAUCCUUCUCUUCCUCUGCGUCACGCUGUCCUGCUACUGCUUCAACAGGAACAGAGACAUCUUCUGUCAGAACUGGCAGGACCCGUCAGGAUUUAAGAACGUGUUGAACGGACUCAUGAACUCGAAGGACAUUGUGUACACGC